UACGUAGGGGGCCAGCGUUGUCCGGAAUCAUUGGGCGUAAAGAGCGUGUAGGCGGCUCGGUAAGUCCGCUGUAAAAGUCAAAGGCUCAACCUUUGAAUGUCAGUGGAUACUGCCGGGCUAGAGUCCGGAAGAGGCGAGUGGAACUCCUGGUGUAGCGGUGGAAUGCGCAGAUAUCAGGAAGAACACCAACGGCGAAGGCAGCUCGCUGGGACGGUACUGACGCUGAGACGCGAAAGCGUGGGGAGCGAACAGG
rnacentral:rRNA from 1 species